rnacentral:rRNA from 1 species
UACGGAGGGGGCUAGCGUUGUUCGGAAUUACUGGGAGUAAAGCGCACGUAGGUGGACUUAUAAGUCAGGGGUGAAAUCCCAGGGCUCAACCACGGAAAUGCCUUUGAUACUGGCUAUCUUGAGUUCGGGAGAGGUGAGUGGAAUUCCUAGUGUAGAGGUGAAAUUCGUAGAUAUUAUGAAGAACACCAGUGGCGAAGGCGGCUCACUGGGCUGGUACUGACGCUCAUGUGCGAAAGCGUGGGGAGCGAACAGG